UACGAAGGGGGCUAGCGUUGCUCGGAAUUACUGGGCGUAAAGCGCACGUAGGCGGCUCUUUAAGUCGGGGGUGAAAUCCUGGAGCUCAACUCCAGAACUGCCUUCGAUACUGUAGAGCUUGAGUUCGGGAGAGGUGAGUGGAACUGCGAGUGUAGAGGUGAAAUUCGUAGAUAUUCGCAAGAACACCAGUGGCGAAGGCGGCUCACUGGCCCGAUACUGACGCUGAGGCGCGAAAGCGUGGGGAGCAAACAGG
rnacentral:rRNA from 1 species